UGGCAUUAAUAUUAAUGAGAGCUCUUUAACUGCUUCUGUUGGACUGUUCUAACCUGCAUCCUGUUGGAUCAGCUCACAUCUUUCUAUUCUUUAUCCAGGUUGAUUGACUGCGGUUUGUCCAAGAUCAGCUGUGCUUCUCUGGUCUCAGCUCUGAAGUCAAACCCCUCCCAUCUGACAGAACUGGACCUGAGGAAAAAUAACCAGAAGGGGUCAGAUGUUCAGCAGCUGCAGGAUCUUGUAGAGAGUCCAGACUACAAACUGCAGACUCUGUAAGUGGUGGAGGGAUUGGUGAUCUUAGUGGAGGAGAGAAGCUGAUCUGUGUCCUGAUGAUCCUCAGAGGUUGAAGCUGCAGCAGUUUGAGUUUAAAGAGACUCUGACUGGAUCCUGAUGAUGAACUCUGAGUUUAGAGAUUUGUUUGUUUUCACUCCUUUUUUCUCUUUGUUUUCAUCGUCUCCAUAAUAUCAUGUUGAUAUUUUGAUCUAUAACAUGUGAAAAGAUUAAUUUAAAAAAGAAUCCUGAACAGUUUUAUCAAACUUUUAAUGAACUUUAAUGUUAAAUUUAGCGGAUGCUGUUGUAAACCUCAGAAAGUUCUCUCUCUUUGGUUUAAUAUUCCCACUGAACUUCCUGGAUCAGAUCUGAAAAGCUGCUCUGUCUUUCUGAUUCUCUGAGAGCUGCAGCAGUUUCAGAUGCUGAGAUCUUUUUUCUUUGGGUGUUUCCUCUAUUUCUCUCCAUUCAUUCUGUCUCCAUGUUCACCUGCUGAAACCUUUAGAUCCUGCUGAAAAUCUUUGUUGUUCCUGCUGAUGAACCACCACUGUGGCUCAUUGUUAGCAGGUUAGCUAAAGCAGGUGUGGAGCGAUCCAGGACCUCAGAUGGACUCAGGAAGCCCUUCCAGUCCGGCCCCAGCAGGGUGGAGGAGGGCUGCUGUCAUUAAGGAGGAGCUGCUUGGACUGAAAAUAGAGUCCAAGGCUGAAUCCCAUCAUUUGGCCUUAACUCUUCCUCACCAACCCUAAGCUAGUGAGCUGUUGGGGGUCCUGGUUGUUCUGAGGAGUUGUAGGGGGGGCACCCAUUGGUCCUUGGACAGGGAUUCUGUUUAGGAGACCGUUUGGAAGCAAAGAUGUUAGAGCUGAGCUUGGAAAUGUUUGUUUUCUCACUUCCAAUGUUUUAAUGACUCAAUAACCAUUGUAGUGUCUAAU